rnacentral:rRNA from 1 species
GAUGAACGCUAGCGGCGCGCUUAAUGCAUGCAAGUCGAGCGAUGAGGGUCUCCUUCGGGGUGGCACAUCAGCGGCAGACGGGUGAGUAACACGUAGGUAACCUACCCCAGAGACAGGGAUAACCCUAGGAAACGAGGGCUAAUACCGGAUGACCUCCGGAAGGAGGAAAGGCUCAGGCGCUCUGGGAGGGGCUUGCGGCCCAUCAGCUAGUUGGUAGGGUAAAGGCCUACCAAGGCGAAGACGGGUAGGGGGUGUGAGAGCACGGCCCCCCACAAUGGGACUGAAACACGGCCCAUACUCCUACGGGAGGCAGCAGCAGGGAAUAUUGCACAAUAGGCGAAAGCCUGAUGCAGCGACGCCGCGUGAGUGAAGAAGGCCUUCGGGUCGUAAAGCUCUUUUGUAGGGGAAGAGGAAGGACGGUACCCUAAGAAGAAGCGUCGGCUAACUACGUGCCAGCAGCCGCGGUAAGACGUAGGACGCGAGCGUUAUCCGGAAUUACUGGGCGUAAAGGGCCAGCAGGCGGCUUGGUAAGUUGUGCGUGAAAGCCUCGUGCUCAACGCGAGGAAGCCGGACAAUACUGUCAAGCUAGAGGGCAUCAGAGGGGAGUGGAAUUCCCGGAGUAGCGGUAAAAUGCGCAGAUAUCGGGAGGAACACCGAUGGCGAAGGCAGCUCCCUGGGAUGCACCUGACGCUAAGAGGCGAAAGCUAGGGGAGCGAACAGGAUUAGAGACCCUGGUAGUCCUAGCUGUAAACGCUGGGUGCUAGGUGUGGGACGUAGAAGUUCCGUGCCGGAGCAAACGCGAUAAGCACCCCGCCUGGGAAUUACGGUCGCAAGGCUAAAACUCAAACGAAUUGACGGGGCCCCGCACAAGCAGCGGAGCGUGUGGU